GAUGAACGCUGGCGGCGUGCCUAGUACAUGCAAGUCGAGCGAAUGGAUUAAGAGCUUGCUCUUAUGAAGUUAGCGGCGGACGGGUGAGUAACACGUGGGUAACCUGCCCAUAAGACUGGGAUAACUCCGGGAAACCGGGGCUAAUACCGGAUAAUAUUUUGAACUGCAUGGUUCAAAAUUGAAAGGCGGCUUCGGCUGUCACUUAUGGAUGGACCCGCGUCGCAUUAGCUAGUUGGUGAGGUAACGGCUCACCAAGGCAACGAUGCGUAGCCGACCUGAGAGGGUGAUCGGCCACACUGGGACUGAGACACGGCCCAGACUCCUACGGGAGGCAGCAGUAGGGAACCUUCCGCAAUGGACGAAAGUCUGACGGAGCAACGCCGCGUGAGUGAUGAAGGCUUUCGGGUCGUAAAACUCUGUUGUUAGGGAAGAACAAGUGCUAGUUGAAUAAGCUGGCACCUUGACGGUACCUAACCAGAAAGCCACGGCUAACUACGUGCCAGCAGCCGCAGUAA
rnacentral:rRNA from 1 species